GAAUUUUGGACAAUGGGCGAAAGCCUGACGCAGCCAUGCCGCGUGAAUGAUGAAGGUCUUAGGAUUGUAAAAUUCUUUCACCGGGGACGAUCAUGACGGUACCCGGAGAAGAAGCCCCGGCUAACUUCGAGCACGCAGCCGCGGUAAUACGAAGGGGGCUAGCGUUGCUCGGAAUUACUGGGCGUAAAGGGCGCGUAGGCGGAUCGUUAAGUCAGAGGUGAAAUCCCAGGGCUCAACCCUGGAACUGCCUUUGAUACUGGCGAUCUUGAGUAUGAGAGAGGUAUGUGGAACUCCGAGUGUAGAGGUGAAAUUCGUAGAUAUUCGGAAGAACACCAGUGGCGAAGGCGACAUACUGGCUCAUUACUGACGCUGAGGCGCGAAAGCGUGGGGAGCAAACAG
rnacentral:rRNA from 1 species